CAGCAGCCGCGGGAAUACGAAGGGGGCUAGCGUUGCUCGGAAUGACUGGGCGUAAAGGGCGCGUAGGCGGCGGCCAAAGUCAGGCGUGAAAUUCCCGGGCUCAACCUGGGGGCUGCGUUUGAUACUUGGUUGCUUGAGUGGGGAAGAGGGUCGUGGAAUUCCCAGUGUAGAGGUGAAAUUCGUAGAUAUUGGGAAGAACACCGGUGGCGAAGGCGGCGACCUGGUCCUUUACUGACGCUGAGGCGCGAAAGCGUGGGGAGCAAACAGGAUUAGAGACCCCAGUAGUCCCUGUCUCUUAUAC
rnacentral:rRNA from 1 species